GACCCUUAGGAAACUAGGGGGUGCUUCCAUCUGGAAGAAUCUGGAGACAGGUGCUGCAUGGCUGUCGUCAGCUCGUGUCGUGAGAUGUUGGGUUAAGUCCCGCAACGAGCGCAACCCUUGCCUUUAGUGCCAGCAGUUCGGCUGGGCACUCUAAAGGGACUGCCGGUGUUAAACCGGAGGAAGGUGGGGAUGACGGUCAAGUCCUCAUGGCCUUUAUGACCAGGGCUACACACGUACUACAAUGGCCGAUACAAAGGGCAGCGACACUGCGAGGUGAAGCCAAUCCCGUAAAAUCGGUCUCAGUCCGGAUUGGAGUCUGCAACUCGACUCCAUGAAGUUGGAAUCGCUAGUAAUCGUGGAUCAGCAUGUCACGGUGAAUACGUUCCCGGGCCUU
rnacentral:rRNA from 1 species